GGAGAGGUGGCCGAGUGGCUGAAGGCGCACGCUUGGAAAGCGUGUUUACGGUAACCCCGUAACGAGGGUUCGAAUCCCUCUCUCUCCGCCA
rnacentral:tRNA from 1 species